rnacentral:rRNA from 1 species
UGGUGGAGUGAUUUGUCUGGUUAAUUCCGAUAACGAACGAGACCUCCGCCUGCUAAAUAGUCACGCGGUGCCCUGGGCACCCGCGGGUUCUUGACUUCUUAGAGGGACUAUGAGCGGUAAGCUCGUGGAAGUUGGAGGCAAUAACA